rnacentral:tRNA from 1 species
GGGAUGGCUCAGUGAUUAAGAGCACUGGCUCUUCUUCCAGAGGACCUGGGUUCAAUUCCCAGCACCCA